GACGAACGCUGGCGGCGUGCCUAAUACAUGCAAGUAGGACGCAGUUGCGAACGGGUGAGUAACGCGUAGGUAACUACCUAUUAGAGGGGGAUAACUAAUGGAAACGAUAGCUAAUACCGCAUACUAGUAGAUGGACCUGCGUUGUAUUAGCUAGUAGGGAGGGUAAUGGCCUACCUAGGCAACGAAGACUAGCCGACCGGGGAGGGUGAGUGGCCACACUGGGACUGGUACACGGUCCAGACUCCUACGGGAGGCAUAAGUAGGGAAACUUCGGCAAUGGGGGGAACCCGGACCGAGCAAUGCCGCGUGAGUGAAGAAGUUUUUCGGAUCGUAAAGCUCUGUUGUUAAGGAAGCGGUACUUAACCAGAAAGGGACGGCUAACUACGUGCCAGCAGCCGCGGUAAUAC
rnacentral:rRNA from 1 species